rnacentral:rRNA from 1 species
AACGAACGCUGGCGGCAUGCCUAACACAUGCAAGUCGAACGAUGCCUUCGGGCAUAGUGGCGCACGGGUGCGUAACGCGUGGGAAUCUGCCCUUGGCUUCGGAAUAACAGUUAGAAAUGACUGCUAAUACCGGCUGAUGUCCCCCUGAGAGAUCUUGGGGGCCAAAGAUUUAUCGGCCAGGGAUGAGCCCGCGUAGGAUUCGGUAGUUGGUGGGGUAAAGGCCUACCAAGCCGACGAUCCUUAGCUGGUCUGAGAGGAUGAUCAGCCACACUGGGACUGAGACACGGCCCAGACUCCUACGGGAGGCAGCAGUGGGGAAUAUUGGACAAUGGGGGGAACCCUGAUCCAGCAAUGCCGCGUGAGUGAUGAAGGCCUUAGGGUUGUAAAGCUCUUUUACCAGGGAUGAUAAUGACAGUACCUGGAGAAUAAGCUCCGGCUAACUCCGUG